UACGUAGGGUGCGAGCGUUGUCCGGAAUUAUUGGGCGUAAAGAGCUCGUAGGCGGUCUGUCGCGUCUGCUGUGAAAACCCGAGGCUCAACCUCGGACUUGCAGUGGGUACGGGCAGACUAGAGUGUGGUAGGGGAGACUGGAAUUCCUGGUGUAGCGGUGGAAUGCGCAGAUAUCAGGAGGAACACCGAUGGCGAAGGCAGGUCUCUGGGCCAUUACUGACACUGAGAAGCGAAAGCAUGGGGAGCGAACAGG
rnacentral:rRNA from 1 species